rnacentral:rRNA from 1 species
UACGAAGGGGGCUAGCGUUGCUCGGAAUCACUGGGCGUAAAGGGUGCGUUAGGCGGGUCUUUAAGUCAGGGGUGAAAUCCUGGAGCUCAACUCCAGAACUGCCUUUGAUACUGAAGAUCUUGAGUUCGGGAGAGGUGAGUGGAACUGCGAGUGUAGAGGUGAAAUUCGUAGAUAUUCGCAAGAACACCAGUGGCGAAGGCGGCUCACUGGCCCGAUACUGACGCUGAGGCACGAAAAGCGUGGGGAGCAAACAGGG